ACGAAUAAAUAACGAUAAUUUCAUUAUAUAUUACAAACUAUCUUUAUCAUUUCAAUCCAUGAAAUCUUAUCAAAACAUUUCAAUAAAUUCGAUAAAAUAAAACUUUCAACUCGACUUGAAACGUAGAAAUUCGUUUCUCUGAACGUUCCUCAACUUUCGAUCGUGACCGAACGCUUCCUCGAAACCGCCCUAAAAAAAGAUGGCGGUAACGGGACCGAUAGUAGUAACGUUCACUCCAAAGCAAAGUCGAACAUCGUUGUUAUUUGAAAGAGUUAACUCUCUAUGAAAUAUUCUCGACGCAAUACGACGAUUGAAAUUAAACUCGACGAGAAAUAGUUGGAAUCGUAUGGUACACCACGUAUGUAUGUAGAUUGAAGAGCAUGUGAUUCACGAUAUGAGUCAAGCCUGCAGGAGAAGGCGCGCCUGAACCGCGCGUUUUCUAACUGGCCACUUCGAACGCAACUUAAAUGCGAAAGAUCGGAAGGGGCUGACCGAGAUCGGUGUUCUGGAAUCUCGAUUUCUCGGUGCAGUUACCUGUUCGAGUAUUUGUUAUUGGUACAUAGCAUAGAGAUAAGUUGGGUAAUUAGGAUGGUUUUCUUGACGAUUUGCGGAGAAAAGUUAUGUUAUUGGGAAGUAAGUUAUGUGUUAUGACUUUUUAUUUAUUUAUUUAUUUUUUUAUUUUAUUAUUUUAUUAUUUUCUUCCUUUCUUAGCGAGAUCGAUUCAAGCCUUUGUGAAGAGAUUAUUUUGUAGUACAAUGUACAGUUAGAACUAUCCGGAAUAUUAUCAUACUUCUAGAAUCUAAUGAAUGGUUUUUCAUUAUGCGUUCUACUUUCUUUUUAAAUAAUUAAGAUGUCGUUAUAAUGAAAUAUAGUAAAUAUAUUGGACAAGUGAACAAAAAGCAUUUAUCAAUAUUUUACGAAAUUUAAUUUAAAAUUUAAAUCUUAAAUUAAGUCUUCUGUUGAAAAUACAUGAUCUUUUUCUUAUAAAAAAAACACACACACACACGUGAAAUGAUCAAUACAUUUAAAAUAUAUGGGAAAAAAGACACAAUAUAUCUACGAAAAAAAUUAUUCAAAUCGAAUAUUUUUAUUUGAAAUGAAUCUUUAAAAAUUAAAAUUAUUUAAGUUGUGCCUUAAAAAGAGUCCACUUGUUAUUUCAAUAUUAAAUACAUUAUUACGUUUAUAGGAACUAUUAAAAUUUCAAUAUAAUUAAAAUUUCAAUACACGAUCUUCCCAGAGUAAUCCAAUCAAAAUUCACUUACUGCUAAUGCUCAAACAAUAUGAAUUUCUUAAUCUCCAUAAAUUAUCCAUUUUAGUUCCCAUGUCAAGGCAUCGGGGAAUCAUCAAGGCGAGCAUACAGGAAACAAAUCUUAUCGACGUGUCGUAUCUUAUUUCGCGAGAUUCGUUCCAUCUUAUCGCAUUUAUCGGCUAUACAAAUCUGUUAAUUCCGCGCGUGGAAUGCCUUCGUAUCAUCCCCCUCGCGACCACCAGGCUCAGAAUCGGUGAUUCACUCUGACUCAGCGGUUCGUUUCGUCGUAUUUAAUGUCCUGGAAGCGGAGAAUCAUGCGCGGCAAAAGUACGAACGCCGCGGGUUGGUCAGUCGCGAUAUUCUUCGCGUCAUGGAGCAAAACUUCCGCGAACUUGUAUAGCUAUUCGACGUCUAAAUAACCGAAUGAGAAUCUGCUCGAUACAGAUUGGCGCAAGAGCAACGAAAGAAAACGGGAACAAGUCGAUGUUCCCCUUUGUUCUUGGCAAAGAUUUUUCACCCGAACAGACGGUGUUGCGUAAUACGGAUCAUUGGAGACCGAAGCGACGCCAUUCUACUUAUACGAUUCUAGUCUCGAGAAAAAAAUUGGAAGCUGGAAGGAAUUGUACGAUAAAAGGAAAAUUUGGAAUGAAAUUGAAAAAAUAUUGGGAAAAUUGAAUAUUUUUAUGAGCAAAUAUUAUUUAAUCUUUUGAAAUAUUAGAAUUUCUAAUUUUAUUGUCAAUAAGAUAUUAAUAAGAUAUGAAGCUUUAUUAAGAAUAAGAUUACAUUUGAAAUAAAGUUUAAUCUACCAUUUCUAUAAAUAAAUUAUCUAUUGCGUUCUAUAUUUAAUAUUAAAUCAUGGUUAACUAUUAUUUAUUAUUUCAUCAUUUAAAGAUAAAUAUAAAGAUGAAUUUUCUUUUAAUAAUUGAAAUAUAAUAAGUAUGGAAGAUGAUUAUUUCUUAUUUUUUAUUUUUUAGAUAUUAAAAAUAGAUUAAGAUUUUUGUAAAGAGUGUUUGAAUAAAUUGAAAUUUUAAAGGAUAAUAAUUUUAAAGUUAGAAAUAAGUACAAAAAUUGGUUUUCAAAUUAUAUGUAAUUUAAUUUUGUAUUUGAAAAAAGAUUGAUAUAGAGGAAAAGAUUGAAAAGUAAGAUUCUAUUUUUGUACUACAUAAAAAAGGAAGAAAAAAAUUUAUACUCAUAAUAUGAUACUGUCGAUCUUUAUCCAUGAAUACUAGUACCUUUACAUGUGAUGAUUUAAUCUGUAUUUUUUGAAAUGAUUGAUUAAUGAGAAUUUUGUAUAAUAAUUGUAAUUAUUAUCUAAUAAUAAUAUAUCACAUAGAUUCAUCUUAUUUUCCUUAUUAUAAAUGAAUUAAAAAUGUGUUCAAUAAUAAAAAUAAAAUUACACUUCGAAUUUUUUUUAAAUCAACAAAAAUAUCACGUAUUUAGUCAGUAUUUCUGGAAUUAUACACAAUGUAAGAACGACUAUUACGUGCUCCUUCAUACUAGCUCGCGUGAUACGUACGAGUAAGCGUCCACCUCUCGAAUAUUUUAUAGUCAAAGACCUAACGAUAUCUUUCUAACCCCAUUGAGUAUAAAUAUUACUUUCGUACCACAUUUUGCUUAACACAAUCUCUCAAAUCCACCAGAGUAAAUUCUCUCAACCUCGCAUAUUGCAUAUCGCGAAAUGCAUAUCCAUAAAGGCGAUACAUUAAUAAUAUGAAAACCUUCGCUCUGGAGGAGAUGUUCCAUGGCCACGAUCGAACUGUUUUCGCGGUGGCCGCCAACUGGAUGAAAUAUACAUCGAGGUCGGUCGAUCGUCGGUCGGCCCAACUUUUCGUUUCUUCGGUCUUUCGAAAAUCGUUACCACUUUCCAUGAACCGUUGGAAAAGUGUUCUUCUUUUGCUUUCGAUUGUCGCGAUUAGGGUGAAAAAGCGGCGAGAGGAUAUCGCGAUAUAGAAUGCCAUGGAAAAGUAGAAAGGAAGAGCAAGAGGGAAGGAGGGAGAGGGAGAGCAAGAAGAGAGAAAGAGAAUAAAAGAGAAAAGAAAAAGGAGAAGGAGACACGCCGCGGAGGAGAGGAGAGAAAGGGGAGGAAGAGGUGGAGCUUGGUACGAGGACGUUGGAGAACGGCAGUUAGAUAUAGUUGGUGGCGUCGCCGUCGGACGUCCUCGGGCGACGGCGCCACCGUCGUCCUCGUGCAGGCGUCUCUCGGCUUAAAGUAGGUUAGGUCGAUGAGACCACGACGAUGCCGCCACCGCGGUUUCUGCGCAGCGGUCUCGAUUCUUCGGCUGCUCCCUGCACCCGUCUUCCUUCCUCCUAGAGCGAACGAUGAUUCCGCGAAUAGUCACUCGAAGUUAUCUACGGGCCGCUCAUCGAUUUUCAUAGUUCUUCUCGCCGACUUCCCGGAAGGAACGUUUUGCAAAAAAUCAUAUCAAAUUCAAUAAAUAUUAAGAUAUAUUGAUAAUUAAGAAGAUAUUGAUUAAAAGUUAAAAAUAAAGAUUUUCUUUCAUUUUGACGGAAUGUAUGAAAAAGAGAGAUUGAAGAGUUGUUUUUAUUGAUGAAUUAUAGUAUAACAACAUAGGAAUUUUUGUAUCAUAAAACAGUAUAUUAUAUUAAAAUUAAAAUAUGUACAAGUAUCGAAUAAAAUUUUUUAAAUGAUUAA